AGCAGCCGCGGUAAUUCCAGCUCCAAUAGCGUAUAUUAAAGUUGUUGCAGUUAAAAAGCUCGUAGUUGAAUCUCGGGAUUGACACAUCGGUCGUGCCUUAAGGGGUAUGAACUGGUGUAGUCAAUUUCUCACCUUCUGGAGAACCGCGAUGCCCUUAAUUGGGUGUCACGGGGAACCAGGACCUUUACUUUGAAAAAUUAGAGUGUUUAAAGCAGGCAUUUUGCUUGAAUACAUUAGCAUGGAAUAAUAAAAUAGGACGGCAUGAUUCUAUUUUGUUGGUUUCUAGGAUCACCGUAAUGAUUAAUAGGGAUAGUUGGGGGCAUUAGUAUUCAAUUGUCAGAGGUGAAAUUCUUGGAUUUAUUGAAGACUAACUACUGCGAAAGCAUUUGCCAAGGAUGUUUUCAUUAAUCAAGAACGAAAGUUAGGGGAUCGAAGACGAUCAGAUACCGU
rnacentral:rRNA from 1 species